AGAAAACACCCUCCGAAUUUGACCAAAAAUUAAAUCCGAAAACACGGAACCUGGAAUCUGCUGGAUUUUGCAACUGGUGCGGAAGCAACAUUUUCAUAGCCUUGUUUUUGUUUUCCUACUUGCACGCCUAAUAGCUAUGAAUAUAGCAGUUCUAUACCAUGAGCAGCAUGUCUGCUUUGUUUAUUGUAACCUUUUUAAAUCGAAGUUCCAAUGCCUAAAUAGAAACCUAAUUAAGGUGAUUAUACUUGUCUAAGUAGAAAGCGGGACACAACGGAAAGUGAAGGGGGAUGUGGGUACAAAGUGAGACAAAAAGAGAAAGCUUGCUACUAUUCAGUUAACCAUGAAAACAAUUUUCUUUUCGUUGAGUAGUUGAGUGGACAAGCACCUUUCUUACCCAUUCCGCAAAAACUAAGCAUGCCAAAUUUAGUAAUAUAAAAAAUAGCCCCCUAAGAUAACAUGUAUCUUUUUAUGUUUAUUCUAAUACACUAUCACAAGUUGUUCUUGUUUUCUUCAUUUGUUUGGUACUGAUUUCAUGGGGAAGUUCCAUGAAAAUGGGACUUUUGGUUUUAUUCACACAAAGAAAAUGGGACAUUUGAUUUUAUUCACACAAAGAAAAUGGGACAUUUGAUUUUAUUCACACAAAAUGAUUGGACAACAUGUCUGAACCUGUAAAACAAGACUGUCCCGGCCAAGAUGGGAAGUCUGGUCACCCUAGACACUUAUUUGACACCACUAAAUGAACAUGUCUGGAGAAAGAUGCAGGAUUUUUUAAAGCUUUUUAUCAUUACAAUUUUUGUUUUGCACCACAGGCGGAUGUUGUUUUUACAGAACAUUCCUUUUCUCUCACCAGGUAGGCUCUUUUGAGGUGGCCACUAUUGUGAAGCACGGCAGUGACUACUUUCUUUCGCGUAAAUGUGGCAAAAGUUCCGACAGGAAAAUGCCCAUGUAACUUUUUUCUUCUACGUCUGUGCUGCAGAUAAUAGGCCGCGCAGAUUAUGCGGAGUGGGACACCAUAUUCAAUGACAUUUCUCUGUCGGAACUCUCUUGCAACAUGCAACAUGAGAAAUUAAGGCAAUGAACAGUUUAAAAUGACAAAACCCAUCGCAUGGAGACCGACCCCGAAGCGAAAAGCUCGAAGUUACUCUGUGUGCUGUUGUUCUGUUCAGAUAAGAAUGCCUGUCAAAUGUUGAUCGGAGCGAAAGAACUCAACGUUUCCACAUCUUUCUCAAUAGGCUGGGAAGCAACAACUCUGAUGGAGAGCUUCCAUCGUUACUGCAGCGGAAGGGUGAUAACGGCCGAUGAGAGGAGGACACACACAACCCCCGACAGGAUACUGUGAUCGCCCGAAUGUCAUCCUCUCAAUCGGGAAGAUCGAGCCCGUGCCGCAGCGGGAAGGAUCUUCCACUGCGAAGACAGCAGCGGCCUCUUUUCGUGGAGCGAAGCAGACGACUACCCGCAGGACGACGGAAAGCACCGCCAGUGCCGCCUCUGCACGUACUCAAGCGACAGCUGGGCUCGGCUCCUUAACCACGAAAGAAUGCACAAGGGAGGGAGACCUUUCAGCUGUCAAGUGUGCGAGAAGGCCUUUACGAACAAAGACCACCUGGUGACCCAUCAGCGCAUCCACACGGGCGAGCGCCCCUUCAAGUGCGAUGUCUGCAGCAAGACAUUCACGGACUCUUCACACUGGAGGCGCCACAAGAAGACUCACCUCGGUGGCGAUCGCCAUGUCUGCCAGCACUGUGGCAGAGCGUACACGCGCAAGGACGACCUGGUGAGGCACGUUCGUAUGUGCCACCGUCACGAGGUUUAGUUGCGCGAGCAAAGCGGGAGGUCUGCUUGCCGUCGGGGCUGACCUUUCCAAAACCAGUCAUACUCUGAAUCACUGUAACUGGGCAGACGGCCAAGGCUACGGUCCCUGUGAGCCAAUCACAGCGUCGGAGGAAGGCACAAGGCUAUUAUUGAUCUCCCUAAUUGUGCACAGUGCCGUAGAGGUCACGGACAGGAGAGAGAAAAGCCACUUUUCUAUGAAGUAGGGUAAGAGGCAAGUUCCUCCUUCCCCGCCUCUUCAACUGCUUAGGUUAUACCAGGGUUCCCUAAACUUUAUGGCUGAAGGGCCUGAUUAGAUGCUUGUCACGGCCUCAAAGGUCAACAAAUAAA